rnacentral:rRNA from 1 species
GAUGAACGCUGGCGGCGUGCCUAAUACAUGCAAGUCGAGCGAACGGACGAGAAGCUUGCUUCUCUGAUGUUAGCGGCGGACGGGUGAGUAACACGUGGAUAACCUACCUAUAAGACUGGGAUAACUUCGGGAAACCGGAGCUAAUACUGGAUAAUAUUUUGAACCGCAUGGUUCAAAAGUGAAAGACGGUCUUGCUGUCACUUAUAGAUGGAUCCGCGCUGCAUUAGCUAGUUGGUAAGGUAACGGCUUACCAAGGCAACGAUGCAUAGCCGACCUGAGAGGGUGAUCGGCCCCACUGGAACUGAGACACGGUCCAGACUCCUACGGGAGGCAGCAGUAGGGAAUCUUCCGCAAUGGGCGAAAGCCUGACGGAGCAACGCCGCGUGAGUGAUGAAGGUCUUCGGAUCGUAAAACUCUGUUAUUAGGGAAGAACAUAUGUGUAAGUAACUGUGCACAUCUUGACGGUACCUAAUCAGAAAGCCACGGCUAACUACGUG